ensembl:lncRNA
CCUCGGUAAAGUGCGUCUGUUCCGCCCGCCCAUGUUUAAAUAAAGAGAAUGAACGAAAGAGAGAAACAGUGGGUCGGGAGGCGUGUUCGUCACGUGACCGCGGCCGGCGGAUCACCUAUUUAAAACCGUAAGCGCUGCGCGGGCCGGCAGGAAUUUUCCACGUCGUAGUGCGCAGGCUCGGGUAGCUCCCGGUUUCGUGUGCGGGUACCGUCACAGGGCAGGCGGUUGCCCGUGGAUACCGUGGCCCCCACAGGCUUUUAAAGCGGCGCGGCUACAGGCAGAAGAGCGCACGGGCUUCGCGGGAAGCGACCUUUGCUCAGGAGGACUGGUCCGUUCACUGUGCUCCGCUCGGUGAGGCUUAACGCACCAUUAAAUGCGCCCAUGGGUGUGAAGGUCCUGCACUGUUUCCCCUGGUCUCGGAGCUCCAAAGACAGGGGCAAAGCUAAGCAGAACCUCAGCCAGAGAGACAUGUUACAGGAGGCAAAGUCAUCUUUACAAACACCCUUAUCCUGGGAUAGUAACAGCAGGGUCCAGGUUCCUUCCAGGGAGUCACGGCCUGUCUGCUUCACACACAAAGCCAGCAUCUCCCUCAGGCACCAGAUGGAUGCCCAUAUCGUUGAUGCUACCAACUGAGAAAGUAAAGCCCUCUGACAGCUCCAAAUUCCCCAUUCUAGUCAACCAGGGCCUGAGGUGGUUGCUGAAGCUUCUCUUGUUUUCAGGAAAGCCUGUUCUCAAGGAGCCCUGGGUGUAUGGCUUAGAAUGUUGAGAUGGGAUGCCACAGAGGUGUGAAACAGCCAAGUGCCCCAUGGACAUAUGGGUUAUAUGCAGAUGUUGUAGAACAGGAGGUUUGCAUAAGAGGCACCAGAGGGUUCUAACCCCAAGACUGGGAGAAUUACGCAGUCGUGCGUUUGCUUUACCAUGAAGUGCAUUUUCUGGCUUUUACACUGUUCAUAAUUUGGCAUCCUGUCAGUAUGUUGUAAUGACUGUUCACACAUGUAUAUAAAUCUUUGCUUCAGCAGGUUUGUAUUUGGCAAAAUACAAAUGUAUAGCCCUUUAGAGGAACAGUAAAAAUGUGUGAAAACUCUGCAGCAACAUUUUUUAUGGAUUUUGUUGAUUGUGGAAAUAAAGAGCUUACAUGUCACUCCUGGUGGGAUUUU